rnacentral:rRNA from 1 species
GGAUGUUAAGUCGGCGGUGAAAUUUUGCGGCUCAACCGUAAAAGUGCCUUCGAAACUGGCAGCCUUGAGUGUGGAUGAGGUAGGCGGAAUUUGUGGUGUAGCGGUGAAAUGCAUAGAUAUCACGAGGAACUCCGAUUGCGCAGGCAGCUUACCAAGCCAUAACUGACGCUCAAGCACGAAGGCGUGGGGAUCAAACAGGAUUAGAUACCCUGGUAGUCCACGCAGUAAACGAUGAUUACUGGCUGUUUGCGAUAUAGUGUAAGCGGCUGAGCGAAAGCGUUAAGUAAUCCACCUGGGGAGUACGUUCGCAAGAAUGAAACUCAAAGGAAUUGACGGGGGCCCGCACAAGCGGAGGAACAUGUGGUUUAAUUCGAUGAUACGCGAGGAACCUUACCCGGGCUUGAAAUGCAUCUGGCGUCCCCAGAGACGGGGAUUUCCUACGGGACAGAUGUGUAGGUGCUGCAUGGCUUCCGUCAGC